AACGAACGCUGGCGGCAUGCCUAACACAUGCAAGUCGAACGAGACCUUCGGGUCUAGUGGCGCACGGGUGCGUAACGCGUGGGAACCUGCCCUUAGGUUCGGAAUAACUCCCCGAAAGGGGUGCUAAUACCGGAUAAUGUCUUCGGACCAAAGAUUUAUCGCCUUUGGAUGGGCCCGCGUUGGUUUAGCUAGUUGGUAGGGUAAAAGCCUACCAAGGCGACGAUCCAUAGCUGGUCUGAGAGGAUGAUCAGCCACACUGGGACUGAGACACGGCCCAGACUCCUACGGGAGGGAGCAGUGGGGAAUAUUGGACAAUGGGCGAAAGCCUGAUCCAGCAAUGCCGCGUGAGUGAUGAAGGCCUUAGGGUUGUGAAGCUCUUUUACCCGGGAUGAUAAUGACAGUACCGGGAGAAUAAGCACCGGCUAACUCCGUG
rnacentral:rRNA from 1 species